CUAAGGAAUAUUUCCGCAAUGGAGGAAACUCUGACGGAGCAACGCCGCGUGGACGAUGAAGGCCGGAAGGUUGUAAAGUCCUUUUAUAAUUGAGGAAUAAGCGGGACAGGGAAUGGUUCCGCGGUGACUGUAGGUUAUGAAUAAGCACCGGCUAAUUACGUGCCAGCAGCCGCGGUAACACGUAAGGUGCGAGCGUUAUUCGGAAUUAUUGGGCGUAAAGGGCACGCAGGCGGCUUUGCAAGCUUGGUGUGAAAUCUCAGGGCUCAACCCUGAAACUGCAUUGAGAACUGCAUGGCUAGAGUUAGUGAGGGGAAACCGGAAUUC
rnacentral:rRNA from 1 species